GUGGAUUAGAUACCCGGGUAGUCCACGCCGUAAACGAUGGAUGCUAGCCGUUGGUAAGCAUGCUUAUCAGUGGCGCAGCUAACGCAUUAAGCGUCCCGCCUGGGGAGUACGGCCGCAAGGUUGAAACUCAAAGGAAUUGACGGGGGCCCGCACAAGCGGUGGAGCAUGUGGUUUAAUUCGACGCAACGCGCAGAACCUUACCAGGGUUUGACAUCCCGCGCUAAACUCAGAAAUGGGUGGUCCCCGCAAGGGGCGCGGAGACAGGUGCUGCAUGGUUGUCGCCAGCU
rnacentral:rRNA from 1 species